rnacentral:pre_miRNA from 1 species
UUAACUCAAAUUUGUAGGCAGUUGGAACGGUUGCCGCUGUUCCAAUCCAUACAAAUUUGAGUUA